GAGGAAUUUUGGACAAUGGGGGCAACCCUGAUCCAGCCAUGCCGCGUGUCUGAAGAAGGCCUUCGGGUUGUAAAGGACUUUUGUUGGGGAGCAAAUCAGUGUGGGUGAAUAAUCCAUGCUGGAUGAGAGUACCCAAAGAAUAAGCACCGGCUAACUACGUGCCAGCAGCCGCGGUAAUACGUAGGGUGCGAGCGUUAAUCGGAAUUACUGGGCGUAAAGGGUGUGCAGGCGGUUUACCAAGCUUGAUGUGAAAUCCCCGGGCUUAACCUGGGACGUGCAUUGGGAACUGGUAGACUAGAGUCUGUCAGAGGGGGGUGGAAUUCCACGUGUAGCAGUGAAAUGCGUAGAGAUGUGGAGGAACACCGAUGGCGAAGGCAGCCCCCUGGGAUAAGACUGACGCUCAGGCACGAAAGCGUGGGUAGCAAAC
rnacentral:rRNA from 1 species